rnacentral:tRNA from 2 species
GGUAAAGUGGCUGAGUUUAGGCGGUAAGUUGUAAACUUACAUACGAGUAAUUUCUCUUUUAUCA